UCAAGCUAAUAAGAGCACAGGGUGGAUGCCCAGGCACCAAACGCCGAAGAAAGACGUGGCAAGCUGCGAAAAGUCACGGGGAACCGCAAGCAGGUAUUGAUCCGUGAACGUCUGAAUGGGGAAACCCGGCGGGUUAACAGCCCGUCACUAUUAACUGAAUCAAUAGGUUAAUAGGGGGAACGCGGGGAACUGAAACAUCUCAGUACCCGUAGGAAGAGAAAAUAAAGAAUGAUUUCCUAAGUAGCGGCGAGCGAACGGGAAAGAGGCCAAACCGAAGGGCUUGCUCUUCGGGGUUGUGGAUCAGCAAAAAGGACGAGAGACCUUAGCAGAAGAGGAUUGGAAAGUCCCGCCAGAGAGGGUAAAAGCCCCUUACGCGAAAAGGUCAAACGACGAGCUGACACCAGAGUACCGCAGGACACGAGAAAUCCGGUGGGAAGCCGGGAGGACCACCUCCCAAGCCUAAAUACGAAUUGGUGACCGAUAGCGCAUAGUACCGUGAGGGAAAGGUGAAAAGAACCCCGGGAGGGGAGUGAAAGAGAACCUGAAACCGUAUGUCUACAAGCAGUCGGAGCGAAAGCGACGGCGUGCCUAUUGAAGAAUGAACCAACGAGUUACGUGCACUAGCGAGGUUAAGUGGAAGACACGGAGCCGAAGCGAAAGCGAGUCUUAAGAGGGCGGAUAGUUAGUGUACGUAGACCCGAAACCGCAGUGAUCUACCCAUGUCCAGGUUGAAGCGCAGGUAAAAUUGCGUGGAGGACCGAACCUGUGAGCGUUGAAAAGCUUUAGGAUGAGAUGUGGGUAGAGGUGAAAUUCCAAUCGAACGCGGAGAUAGCUGGUUCUCCCCGAAAUAGCUUUAGGGCUAGCCUCAAGUAGUAAGUAUAGGCGGUAGAGCACUGAUCGGGCUAGGGGCCAUAAAGGUUACCGAACCCUGUCAAACUCCGAAUGGUUAUACUGUAGAGCUUGGGAGUCAGACUACGAGUGAUAAGAUCCGUGGUCAAAAGGGAAACAGCCCAGACCACCAGCUAAGGUCCCCAAUGUCGUACUAAGUGGAAAAGGAUGUGGGGUCUCUAAAACAACCAGGAUGUUGGCUUAGAAGCAGCCACCAUUUAAAGAGUGCGUAAUAGCUCACUGGUCGAGAGACCCUGCGCCGAAGAUUACCGGGGCUAAAGUACGAAACCGAAGCUGUGGCUACGACAUAUGUCGUGGGGUAGGGGAGCGUUCUGUGAGGGCUGAAGUCGUUCUGUAAGGAACGGUGGACUUCACAGAAGUGAGAAUGUUGGUAUGAGUAGCGAAAAGAAUGGUGAGAAUCCAUUCCACCGAAAGCAUAAGGAUUCCUGGGCAACGAUCGUCGUCCCAGGGUAAGUCGGGACCUAAUCCGAGGCAUGGAGCGUAGGAGAUGGACAACUGGCAGAUAUUCCAGUACCGGUAAUGAUUGUUUGAGCGAUGGAGUGACACAGGAGGGCAGGCAGGCAGGAGAUUGGUUGUUCCUGUACAAGCGUGUAGGAUGGGACGCAGGCAAAUCCGCGUCCUGUGAGUCUGAGGCGUGAUGUGGAGGUUCCGGAAACGGAACUGAAGCUGCUGACCCCACACUGUCGAGAAAAGCUUCUAGUUAGAGAAUUACCGCCCGUACCGUAAACCGACACAGGUAUGCGGGGAGAGAAUCCUAAGGUGCGCGGGAGAACCCUCGUUAAGGAACUCGGCAAAAUGUACCCGUAACUUCGGGAUAAGGGUAGCCGCUGUUGUGAAGUCUGAACAGACGGAGCAUGAGGCGGUCGCAGAGAAGAGGCCCAAGCGACUGUUUACCACAAACACAGGUGCCUGCUAAAGAGAAAUCUGACGUAUAGGUGCUGACACCUGCCCAGUGCCGGAAGGUUAAGGAAGGAUGUCCGGAGCAAUCCAAAGCAUUCGACCGAAGCCCCGGUGAACGGCGGCCGUAACUAUAACGGUCCUAAGGUAGCGAAAUUCCUUGUCGGGUAAG
rnacentral:rRNA from 1 species